rnacentral:lncRNA from 1 species
AGGAAGAGUCAGUAUACUCAUACAAACAAAAAUAAAAUUAAGAGUGCAAGUGUGAGAAGAAGGAAAAGCACGUGGGAAAGAAGGGAAGGAAGAAACUCGAUCUCAAAUCUUAGGGAUUCGCUACUAAUCAAGUAAGGGGCUUAACCUUUCGUUUAGGAUUCUUUUCUUUCUCCUUUACUGCUACAUGUUGUUGUUGUUCAUGCUUCAUUGAAAGUGAGUUUUUAUGUUAUGUUGAUGUUGAUUCACUGCUAGUUAUAAUCCUUAUUGUGAAUUUUGUGCUCCGUGUUUAGUGUUAAUUUUAUAUGGUAUUGUGCUUGAAGUUGCUCAUUGGUGUUGUUCUUGAGAAUUCAAAUAAUGGGGUUUAUUGGGAUUUUGAUGAUAAUUCGAAAGAAUCAGUUUCGUAACGUGUUAAGAAUAGAAUACAAUUCUAAAACAAUUAUGAGUCGUUUCCGGGUCAAGAGAAUGUCAAAAUCGAAGCCUUUAAACAACCAUCAAUGGAGUUUUAUUUUUUUCAAAACCGUAUGAACCUUUGUCAUCGUUAAAACUUUCGUUUCGAAUAUCUAAUCUUAAAAAUAAUACCGGUAAUCCUUUCUAAAUUGAAUGACGAUCAAAACGGUAUAAAGAACGUCGAGUUUCGUUGAGUAUUGAGGGAGAUAUGGACGGGUCGGGUAACCGGGUCGCAUGACCCGUUUUGCAGGAAUCCGGGUUAGGAAGAUGAUGAACAGUGUCGCGCUGGCUACGCCCACUCUCACCCACGGCGAGUGGAGGCGCGUGAGGCAUCUAGGAGACUUCAAUUGUUUUCUUUAUUUUUAAAGUAAAAUAGUAAAUAAUUUUACAAGAAUUUUGGUACCUAUUUGGUAAUUUUUGGACACUCGUAGCUAUUUUUAAAUAAUUAUUUGGAGUAAAACUGUGAUUAAAAAUAUUAUAAUUUCGUGAAAAUUUCCUAAACUGAUGGUGUAACUCACUCUCCUUGGUUUUAUAUUCUCUUAAGAAUUUGAAAUUAUUUCACAAUAUUUAUUAAUUAAAUUGAUGUAAAACUGUUAUUGAUGUCGAUCCUACAUGAUAUAAAACUGUUGGUGUUGAUCCUACGUGAUAUAAAACUGUUGGUGUAGUAUGUUAUAAUUGGUGUAGUAUAUUGGUGUAGUAUAUUAUAAUUGGUGUAGUAUUGGAGUAGUAAUGACGUAGCAAAGAUGUCUUGUUUCUUUGAGUUAAACUUAUUUCGACUAAUGAGUUGGAUUAUUUUGUUUGAUGACUUGUUUUUUUUAUUAUUAAGUUGUGUAGUUGUUGUAUUUUGAUAAUUGUGAUUGUUUGUGUAUUAGACCGCCCAAAAGCAAUAUUAUGUUUUGACUAUCUCUUGUACUAUUUUGAAUUUGGUUAUCUUUUGUGAUUGUGUUACUCACCCUUGCUGCCCCUUCUGGUUUGACCCUACGAUGUGCAAUCGUAGAUUUUGAGGUAACAAUGAUGCUUAGCUGAGAGUCCGGAGAUGACAUUAGGAGCUGUCUUCCUUUCCCGUUUUUAAUAAAUUGAGUCGCUCUGCUAGGAAGUCCUAUGGGGGAACUCUAAGUUUUA